rnacentral:rRNA from 1 species
UACGAAGGGGGCUAGCGUUGUUCGGAAUCACUGGGCGUAAAGCGCACGUAGGCGGAUGUGCCAGUCAGGGGUGAUAUCCCGGAGCUCAACUCCGGAACUGCCUCUGAUACAGCACGUCUUGAGUUCGAGAGAGGUGGGUGGAAUUCCUAGUGUAGAGGUGAAAUUCGUAGAUAUUAGGAAGAACACCGGUGGCGAAGGCGGCCCACUGGCUCGAUACUGACGCUGAGGUGCGAAAGCGUGGGGAGCAAACAGG